GGGUUAUAACAUUCCAGGGGAUGUGUAGAUGUGAGUUUUUUGUUGUGUUUUGAAACAAGGUCUCUCUACGUAGCCCAGGCUGGCCUUGAACUCGUGGCAAUCCUCCCACCUCAGCCUCCAUGUUCUGAGAUUGCCGAUGUGAGCUACCACAUCUGACUUGUUUCCCCUUUUUCCUCUUUUUUUUUUUUUAAAAAUCAGAUUAAUUGAAGCCUAAUUGGUGAGCAACAAAUUGCAUAUAUUUGGAGUGUAUGACAGGGUAAGUCUUGACACAGGUCUAUACCCAUCACCAAAAUUGAGAUAAGGUGACGUUCAUUGCCCCUCAACAGCUUCCUUCGGUCCCUUAGUAUCUCUUCCCUCUUCUCUUUUUCCUCCUUCCCACCUCUCUCCUUUCUGCCCCUCCCUUACCGCUUUCUUCCCAGGAAACUAUUGAUCUACUGUCUGUCACACAGAUUAUGUAAUUUGCACAUUUCAGACUCUUAUAUAAGUGGAAUCGUGGAGCAUUUGUUUUUCUCUCUGACAUCUUUCACUUAGCAAAAUUAUUUUGAGAUUCAGCCAUAGAGUUGUAUGCAUCAAUAGUUUAUUCUUGGGCUGGGGAUGUAGCUCAGUGGUUCUGCCGCCUGCCUUGCAAGCACAAGGUCCUGAGUUCAAUCAGUACAAAAAAAAAGUUUAUUCUUAGUUAUUACUGGGUAUUAUUCCAUCACAUGGAUACAGCAGUUACUUACCGAUGAACAUUGGGUUAUUUCCAGUUUGGGGCAACUCCAGAUAAAGUUGCUGUGGACCUCAUGUGCAAGUCCUUGCGUGGACAUAUCCUUUCCUUUCUGUUGGGCAACUAGAUCAUAUGUGGCAAACCUGGUUUAAUAAGCCCCUCUACAUGCUCCUGCUGUGAUGACUGCCUCCCCCCAGGCCCAAAAACAACAGGGCCAACUGACCAUGGACCUGAAUCUCUGGACUGUGAACCAAAACAAACCUUUUGUCUUUAUAAGUUUAUUUUCUCAGGUAUUUGCUACAGUAACAGAAAGCUGACUAACACAUAAGUGGAAAUAGCUAUUAGGCAAUUGAAGUAAAUUAACUGAUGCUUAAAAGGCUUAGAAUUGAAUCCCAGUGGAAAUUUUAUGCAAAUAUUACAAAAGACAAUACAUUUACUGUAGAUCAGGAGUUUGAAAUUUAAUAGGUACUGAAACAAUGUUGAGCUUGAUUUGACUAAUACUUCAUGACAUAGGAAUUCACUCAGUCAAGCAUGUUUUGGCUUGGGGAGGAGUCUGAGUGCAGAAGAAAAAAGAUAGGGCUUAGUAUCUUGAAAAGGAAUCUAUUUUGCCCCUGUAAAUUGGUAAUAAGACACAGCUGACAGAAAGUGGAAGAAAAGGCAAGUACCUUAAUAGCUGCAUCUAUUGUUCUAGAUAACACCUUUUCUAUUGAAAGCUACACAAAAUAUUUAUGCAUACAGUUUUAAGAGAAAAACUGGAGUACGAGGUAGCGUUAGUAAAUGUCUUUUUGAAAUCAGGUUUGUGGUAUUUUAAAAUCUGUGAGCAUCUUCACAAAGUAAAGACAGCAAUGGAAACUGAUUGUGGUUGAGUCCCACAGCUCACCUCUAAAUCUUCGUGUAUCAUUUAGAACCCUGAACUCGUACUCCCCCAAAUCACUUUUCUGUAAUUCAUUGUUAUGGCCCAGCUUUUAAAGAUCUUCCAAAGAUGUUCCAUAAUUCCUUUAAUAAAUUGUUCUACUUUAAAAUUUACAAAAACUUAUAAACUUCUUAAAUGAUAGAGAGAUGGUAUACUAUGCUGAACUCUACAAAAAUUUCCUGUCAUCCACAACAGGAAGGAAGGAAGUAAGCAAAGAGAGAUUACAUACAGUGGGAGCUUGGUACAGUUCUCACUGUUAACUGGUUCUGGGAAGCACCCGUGAAUGCCAAAAACACAAGUGCCAAGCACAUUUGCUGUUGGUACCGACAGAUCCUAACUUGCAUGCAGCUACCGAACUUGGGGAGCACCGGAACAAAAUCUGCUCCAAAUGCUUUGAGUCCCAGAUUCAACGAGUUUCAAAGCAGUGGAGUACGAUGGUGUGACUCUUUUGGAAAGAUUGUUAGGAAGAUGAUAAUGAGAUGACUAGUUUCUAGAUUAAAAGCUUCUCACUCACGUUUUGUUUGACCUUAUCACAAUCAUUGUGGAGGUUUGGAGUUUCGACUUGAUCGGCUUUGGCAUCUUCCCUGGGGAUUGGCCAAGCACACUUCUGGAUGCAUCUGGGUGUGUCAGAGAAGCAUGGCCUUAGGGUCUGUGUUAGUCCCUCGCCCACUCUGCUCCUCUGUUCCUGGCACUGUUCCCCUCCUCUGCUGCCUGGCUCCAAGCCCUUCUGCCUUGUGUUUCUGCUUUGGAGAAUUUCUAGCAUUGACUGCAUCCUGUGAACCAUUAGCCAAGUUUAACCUGUUGCUAGAACAAAAUACCUGACAAAAACAGACAUCAAUGACUAUGAUAUUUGAUUGUUGAACAGAUAAAUGCAUCAAAGUUUAAGAAGUACUAAUUUAGUCAUUUAACAAAAAUGUAUCAAGAGGGCUGGGGAUUUAGCUCUGUGGCACCAUGCCUGCCUCGCAAGCACAAGGUCCCAAGUUCGAUCCCUGGUACCAAACAAAUAAAAAUAAAAAAGAAUCUACUUUUAUAUAAAGACUAAAGGUUGAUGUUCUUGACUUUAGUGUAAACAAUAAAAGCUCUUAGUGACCAUAGAGUUUCUGUUGAGUCAGACACUUAUAGUUAUGUAAACCAAAGUGAUGUGAGUGACUUCUUGCAGUAGCAGAUCAUUUUUUUUCACUUAACUCAGAUUAUCAAUUUAUUUUAGGCAUAGAAUUCAAUUUCCUUCCCAUAUAUUUAUGUCCUUGAAAGCUUCUAAAAGCUGCUUCCUGUUUUCCAUAUGAUAGGUGGCUGCAUUUACUGGUAGAUGACAUAUUUAUGUCAUUUGAAAAGGUCUAUGGCAUAUGAUUUGACCUUUGAGUGAAGUCAUUACAUAAAUGUCACUUGUCAUUAUUCAGCUGUGGGGGGAAAAAUAAGCUUUAAAUAUAGUCAAGUACUCCUACCUGGAACAAAAUAAUAUACUUCUUUGUUAUAAGUAAGAACGGUUAGCUUCUGCAUCCUGUACCCUACUAAGCAUGAACUUGUUGACCAUUUUAUGUUCAGUUGGUCUGUUUGUUGCGAAGCUCUGCUCACUCCUUCAUGCUGACAGUGAGUACUGUCUCACGCUGUGUUAUACUUCUCUCUUAGAGCAGCAGCAUGCUCCAGGUGGUGAGCCAAUAGCAAUGACCUCACUGAGCAGGAAGCAAAACAUCAUACAGGGAUAACAUCACAGUGAAGGAAGAAAAGGAAGAGAAGUGUAGGGCCCUUCUGUCUGCAUACAAGGACUGGAAGACACAAGGAGAGGAAAGGCAUGAUGGAUACAUUUCCCACUGCACCCCGUUAUCAGAUUACAGUAGUGUCACACAUGAGGGAUUACUGCGGUUCUCUUCUGUGACAGUUGAGUGAUUGUGUCAACUUGAGAAGUCGGUUAAGCAAAGCUUGGCUAAAUGGGCUCAACAAUUCCACACCCUGGGGCAUGGAGGACUCACCCUAGGGUCCCUGGGGCCCGGAUGCUACAAAGGGGAAAUGAGGAAGGAGGCUCUGCCUCUGUUCCUUCCGAGGAGCUCCAGACUUUGCCUUGGACGUCAUCUCCUGGCUUCCAGCGCAGACUCUCCAGGUUCCGGAACAAAUCCUUCAGCUUCUGGUGCAGACUCUUCAGCCUUCCAUCCCAGACCCAUCGGCCUCGUGGUACGGGCUCGCACGGGGCACUGCAGUGAGCUCCAGGCCUUCAACUGAAUCCUAGACUCCAGUGUGCAGACAGACCCUCUGCACCCUUCCUCAUUGACUCUGUGGGCGCCAUUGUGGGCCAGUCUUGUGAAUUCAUAUACAUUUGUGCAUCUUGUGUGGUGUCUGUCCCUCGAGUACAUAUGACUGAUACGUCUUCCCAUGAGAGACAUUAUGGUUUAUCUCACCAAGUACUCAUUAAGUGAUUUUCUUUGGUAGCCUCUGUCUGAACACUAUCAUGUCAUUUCUGUAGCUCUGAGCUUAUGUUCUCCAGGAAAGCAGACAUGAGCCAUAUGUAGCCCUUUAAUUUUAAAUUGAAUAAAAUUGUAUUAAGAAUUUGUUUUCUCAGUUGCACUAGGUACAUUUCAAGUGCUCAUAUGUGGCUGUG
rnacentral:lncRNA from 1 species